rnacentral:rRNA from 1 species
UACGGGGGGGGCAAGCGUUGUUCGGAAUUACUGGGCGUAAAGGGUUCGUAGGUGGCCAACUAAGUCAGACGUGAAAUCCCUCAGCUUAACUGGGGAACUGCGUCUGAUACUGGUUGGCUUGAGUGCAGGAGAGGAACGCGGAAUUCCAGGUGUAGCGGUGAAAUGCGUAGAUAUCUGGAGGAACACCGGUGGCGAAGGCGGCAUCCUGGACCGGUAUUGACGCUGAGGCGCGAAAGCUAGGGGAGCAAACGGG